rnacentral:rRNA from 1 species
GAUGAACGCUGGCGGCGUGCCUAAUACAUGCAAGUCGAGCGAACGGACGAGAAGCUUGCUUUUCUGAUGUUAGCGGCGGACGGGUGAGUAACACGUGGAUAACCUACCUAUAAGACUGGGAUAACUUCGGGACACCGGAGCUAAUACCGGAUAAUAUUUUGAACCGCAUGGUUCAAAAGUGAAAGACGGUCUUGCUGUCACUUAUAGAUGGAUCCGCGCUGCAUUAGCUAGUUGGUAAGGUAACGGCUUACCAAGGCAACGAUGCAUAGCCGAGCUGAGAGGGUGAUCGGCCACACUGGAACUGAGACACGGUCCAGACUCCUACGGGAGGCAGCAGUAGGGAAUCUUCCGCAAUAGUCGAAAGCCUGACGGAGCAACGCCGCGUGAGUGGUGAAGGUCUUCGGAUCGUAAAACUCUGUUAUUAGGGAAGAACAUAUGUGUAAGUAACUGUGCACAUCGUGACGGUACCUAAUCAGAAAGCCACGGCUAACUACGUG